ACUCCUACGGGAGGCAGCAGUGGGGAAUAUUUGCACAAUGGGGGAAACCCUGAUGCAGCCAUGCCGCGUGUGUGAAGAAGGCCUUCGGGUUGUAAAGCACUUUCAGUAGGGAGGAAGGUAGUGUAGUUAACACCUGCAUUAUUUGACGUUACCUACAGAAGAAGCACCGGCUAACUCCGUGCCAGCAGCCGCGGUAAUACGGAGGGUGCGAGCGUUAAUCGGAAUUACUGGGCGUAAAAGCGCAUGACAGGCGGCCUGUUAAGUCAGAUGUGAAAGCCCGGGGCUUAAACCUCGGAAUUGCAAUUUGAAACUGGCAGGCUAGAGUCUUGUAGAGGGGGGUA
rnacentral:rRNA from 1 species